rnacentral:rRNA from 1 species
UACGUAGGGUGCGAGCGUUGUCCGGAAUUAUUGGGCGUAAAGAGCUUGUAGGCAGUUUGUCGCGUCUGCUGUGAAAAUCUGGGGCCUAACUCCGGACGUGCAGUGGGUACGGGCAGGCUAGAGUGUGAUAGGGGAGACUGGAAUUCCUGGUGUAGCGGUGAAAUGCGCGGAUAUCAGGAGGAACACCGAUGGCGAAGGCAGGUCUCUGGGCCAUAACUGACGCUGAGAAGCGAAAGCAUGGGUAGCGAACAGGAUUAGAUACCCUGGUAGUCCAUGCCGUAAACGUUGGGCGCUAGGUGUGGGGCUCAUUCCACGAGCUCUGUGCCGCAGCUAACGCAUUAAGCGCCCCGCCUGGGGAGUACGGCCGCAAGGCUAAA